CAAGUCGAACGGGAUUUUUUAUGUAGUAAUACAUGAAAAGUCUAGUGGCGAACGGGUGCGUAACACGUGAGCAAUCUGCCGGGAAGUGGGGGAUAGCUCGCCGAAAGGCGAAUUAAUACCGCAUGUGGCCAGAGGGGACAUCCCCUCGACGCCAAAGUCGCAAGACGCUUCCUGAUGAGCUCGCGGCCUAUCAGCUUGUUGGUGAGGUAACGGCUCACCAAGGCUAUGACGGGUAGCUGGUCUGAGAGGACGACCAGCCACACUGGAACUGAGACACGGUCCAGACACCUACGGGUGGCAGCAGUCGAGAAUUUUUCACAAUGGGGGCAACCCUGAUGGAGCGACGCCGCGUGGAGGAUGAAGGUCUUCGGAUUGUAAACUCCUGUCAUGCGAGAACAAGAAAGUGAUAGUAUCGCAAGAGGAAGAGACGGCUAACUCUGUGCCAGCAGCCGCGGUAAUACAGAGGUCUCAAGCGUUGUUCGGAUUCAUUGGGCGUAAAGGGUGCGUAGGCGGCGUGGUAAGUUGAGUGUGAAAUCCUAGGGCUUAACCUUAGAACUGCACUCAAUACUGCCAUGCUUGAGGAAUGUAGAGGAGAGUGGAAUUCACGGUGUAGCAGUGAAAUGCGUAGAUAUCGUGAGGAAGACCAGUUGCGAAGGCGACUCUCUGGGCAUUUCCUGACGCUGAGGCACGAAGGCCAGGGGAGCAAACGGGAUUAGAUACCCCGGUAGUCCUGGCAGUAAACGGUGCACGUUUGGUGUGGGCGGGUUCAGACCCCGUCCGUGCCGGAGCUAACGCGUUAAACGUGCCGCCUGGGAAGUACGGUCGCAAGAUUAAAACUCAAAGAAAUUGACGG
rnacentral:rRNA from 1 species